rnacentral:rRNA from 1 species
AUCUUCGGCAAUGGACGAAAGUCUGACCGAGCAACGCCGCGUGAGUGAAGAAGGUUUUCGGAUCGUAAAACUCUGUUGUUAGAGAAGAACGUUGCAUAGAGUGGAAAAUUAUGCAAGUGACGGUAUCUAACCAGAAAGGGACGGCUAACUACGUGCCAGCCGCCGCGGUAAUACGUAGGUCCCGAGCGUUGUCCGGAUUUAUUGGGCGUAAAGCGAGCGCAGGUGGUUUAAUAAGUCUGAUGUAAAAGGCAGUGGCUCAACCAUUGUGUGCAUUGGAAACUGUUAGACUUGAGUGCAGUAGAGGAGAGUGGAAUUCCAUGUGUAGCGGUGAAAUGCGUAGAUAUAUGGAGGAACACCGGUGGCGAAAGCGGUUCUCUGGACUGUCACUGACACUGAGGCUCGAAAGCGUGGGUAGCAAACAG